UUGGCUGAUCACACCCCCUGAGACUCCUUUUUUUAGCGUUAAAAAAUGUUGAAUAGACAGCCAGCUUUUGGGAGCAGCCCUGUGCAGAAGAAAGAUGGAGAAGCAUCUGAGGACCUCCUUGGUGGUUUUGUGGCUUCAUUUUUGUUGGGUGAGUGGCAAAAACCAAGUGGAACAGCACCCUCCAUCCCAGAUCAUCCAGGAGGGAGAGAACUGCACAUUUCAAUGCAACUAUACAGUGAGCCCCUUUAGCCAUUUAAAAUGGUACAAGCAGGGCACUGGGAGAAGUCCUGCUUUCCUGAUAAUCGUGACUGACGACGACAGCAAAAACCCAGGUGGCAGGUACACAGUGACUCUGGAUGCAACCUCCAAGCACAGCUCCUUGCACAUCACAGCCGCCCAGCUUAGCGACUCAGCUGUCUACAUCUGUGUGGUGAGCGCACUGUGUUCCCCAGGCACUUGCAGCCAGUAUCCAAACCUGCACCUGCAGGUUGUUGAGGACGCUUAG